rnacentral:rRNA from 1 species
GACGAACGCUGGCGGCGUGCUUAACACAUGCAAGUCGAACGGUAAGGCCCUUCGGGGUACGCGAGUGGCGAACGGGUGAGUAACACGUGGGUGAUCUGCCCUGCACUUCGGGAUAAGCCUGGGAAACUGGGUCUAAUACCGGAUAGGACCACUGCCUGCAUGGGGGGUGGUGGAAAGCUUGUGCGGUGUGGGAUGGGCCCGCGGCCUAUCAGCUUGUUGGUGGGGUGAUGGCCUACCAAGGCGACGACGGGUAGCCGGCCUGAGAGGGUGACCGGCCACACUGGGACUGAGAUACGGCCCAGACUCCUACGGGAGGCAGCAGUGGGGAAUAUUGCACAAUGGGCGCAAGCCUGAUGCAGCGACGCCGCGUGAGGGAUGACGGCCUUCGGGUUGUAAACCUCUUUCAGCACCGACGAAGCGCAAGUGACGGUAGGUGCAGAAGAAGGACCGGCUAACUACGUGCCAGCAGCCGCGGUAA